rnacentral:rRNA from 1 species
AAUCUUCCACAAUGGACGAAAGUCUGAUGGAGCAACGCCGCGCGAGCGAAGAAGGUUUUCGGAUCGUAAAGCUCUGUUGCGAGGGAUGAACAAGUACGGGAGUAACUGCCCGUACCUUGACGGUACCUAGUCAGAAAGCCACGGCUAACUACGUGCCAGCAGCCGCGGUAAUACGUAGGGUGCAGGCGUUGUCCGGAAUUACUGGGCGUAAAGCGCGCGCAGGCGUUCCUUAAAGUCUGAUGUAAAGGCCCACGGCUCAACCGGGGAGGGCCAUUGGAAACUGGAGUAAUGGAGUACAGAAGAGGAAAGCGGAAUUCCACGUAUAGCGGUGAAAUGCGUAGAGAUGUGGAGGAACACCAGUGGCGAAGGCGGCUUUCUGGUCUGUAACUGACGCUGAGGCGCGAAAGCGUGGGGAACAAACA